rnacentral:rRNA from 1 species
UACGAAGGGUGCAAGCGUUACUCGGAAUUACUGGGCGUAAAGCGUGCGUAGGUGGUUUGUUAAGUCUGUUGUGAAAGCCCCUGGCUCAACUGGGGAAGUGCACCCGAAACUGAAUGGCUUGAGUGCGAAAGAGGGUCGCGGAAUUCCCGGUGUAGAGGUGAAAUUCGUAGAUAUCGGGAGGAACACCGGUGGCGAAGGCGGCGACCUGGGUCGACACUGACGCUGAGGCGCGAAAGCGUGGGGAGCAAACAGG